CCUACGGGAUGCAGCAGUGGGGAAUAUUGGGCAAUGGAGGCAACUCUGACCCAGCAACGCCGCGUGAGUGAUGAAGGUCUUCGGAUUGUAAAACUCUUUAAGUGGGGACGAAAAAAGACGGUACCUGACUAAGAAGCCCCGGCUAACUACGUGCCAGCAGCCGCGGUAAUACGUAGGGGGCAAGCGUUAUCCGGAUUUACUGGGUGUAAAGGGAGCGUAGACGGCAAGGCAAGCCAGAAGUGAAAGGGCAGGGCUCAACCCUGUACAUGCUUUUGGAACUGCGGUGCUAGAGUGCAGGAGAGGUAAGUGGAAUUCCUAGUGUAGCGGUGAAAUGCGUAGAUAUUAGGAGGAACACCAGUGGCGAAGGCGGCUUACUGGACUGUAACUGACGUUGAGGCUCGAAAGCGUGGGGAGCAAACAGGAUUAGAUACCCGGGUAGUC
rnacentral:rRNA from 1 species